GAUGAACGCUGGCGGCGUGCCUAAUACAUGCAAGUCGAGCGAACGGACGAGAAGCUUGCUUUUCUGAUGUUAGCGGCGGACGGGUGAGUAACACGUGGAUAACCUACCUAUAAGACUGGGAUAACUUCGGGAAACCGGAGCUAAUACCGGAUAAUAUUUUGAACCGCAUGGUUCAAAAGUGAAAGACGGUCUUGCUGUCACUUAUAGAUGGAUCCGCGCUGCAUUAGCUAGUUGGUAAGGUAACGGCUUACCAAGGCAACGAUGCAUAGCCGACCUGAGAGGGUGAUCGGCCACACUGGAACUGAGACACGGUCCAGACUCCUACGGGAGGCAGCAGUAGGGAAUCUUCCACAAUGGGCGAAAGCCUGACGGAGCAACGCCGCGUGAGUGAUGAAGGUCUUCGGAUCGUAAAACUCUGUUAUUAGGGAAGAACAUAUGUGUAAGUAACUGUGCACAUCUUGACGGUACCUAAUCAGAAAGCCACGGCUAACUACGUG
rnacentral:rRNA from 1 species